GGGGAUAUAGCUCAGCUGGGAGAGCGCCUGCCUUGCAAGCAGGAGGUCGCCGGUUCGAGUCCGGUUAUCUCCA
rnacentral:tRNA from 1 species